rnacentral:rRNA from 1 species
GACGAACGCUGGCGGCGUGCUUAACACAUGCAAGUCGAACGCGCCUGUCCUCUGGGUUUCUGGGGGGUGGGUGAGUGGCGAACGGGUGAGUAACACGUGAGUAACCUGCCCCCUUCUUCGGGAUAACGGUCUGAAAGGGCUGCUAAUACCGGGUAUUCACUGGUCUCCGCAUGGGGUCUGGUGGAAAGGUUUUUUUCUGGUGUGGGGUGGGGUCGCGGCCUAUCAGCUUGUUGGUGGGGUGAUGGCCCACCGAGGGUUUGACGGGUAGCCGGCCUGAGAGGGUGACCGGUAACAUUGGGACGGAGCUACGGCCAAGACUACUACGGGAGGCAGCAGUGGGGAAUAUUGCACAAUGGGCGCAAGGCUGAUGCAGCGACGCGGCGUGAGGGAUGGAGGCCUUGGGGUUGUGAACCUCUUUCGGCCGUGGUCAAGCCGUGACGUGGGUCGUGGUGAGGGUAGUGGGUAAAGAAGCGCCGGCUAACUACGUG